UACAGAGACUGCAAGCGUUAUUCGGAUUCACUGGGCGUAAAGGGUGCGCAGGCGGCCAAGUGUGUGAGGCGUGAAAGCCUAGAGCUUAACUCCAGAAUUGCACCUCAAACUACUUGGCUAGAGCAUUGGAGAGGGUAGCAGAAUUCAUGGUGUAGCAGUGAAAUGCGUAGAUAUCAUGAGGAAUACCAGAGGCGAAGGCGGCUACCUGGACAAUUGCUGACGCUCAGGCACGAAAGCGUGGGGAGCAAAAGGG
rnacentral:rRNA from 1 species